AUAGAGCCAGUACCGUAAGGGAAAGAUGAAAGAAUUACACUAAUAGUAAUAAGAAGCAAAGAUUAAACCUUUUACCUUUUGCAUAAUGAAUUAACUAGAAAUAACUUGACAAAAAGAAUUUUAGCCAAGAGCCCCGAAGCCAGACGAGCUACCCAAAAACAAUUUUUAGAAUGAACUCAUCUAUGUUGCAAAAUAGUGAGAAGAUUAUUGGGUAGAGGUGAAAAGCCAACCGAGCCUGGUAAUAGCUGGUUGUCCAAAAUAGAAUUUAAGUUCGACCUAAAAUUUACUUAAUAUAUAACCAUACUUAAUCGUAAAUUUUAGAGAUAGUUAAAAGAGGUACAGCUCUUUUAACACAGGAUUCAACCUAAAAUAGAGAGUAAAAUAUAAAAUAACCAUAGUAGGCUUAAAAGCAGCCAUCAAUUAAGAAAGCGUUUAAGCUCAACAAUAAACUAACAUUAACAAAUUACAUAAACAUUCAACACCUCCUAUUUUAAUAUUGGACUAAUCUAUAUGAAUAGAUGAACUAAUGUUAAUAUCAGUAAUAAGAAAACUUUUUCUCCUUGCACCAACCUAUAACCUAACGAAUACUCAUUGUUAAUUAACAACCCUAUAAUAACAACCAAUAAUAAACCAAUUAUAAAAAUACUUGUUAACCCAACACAGGAGUGCUAAAAGGAAAGAUUAAAAAAAGUAAAAGGAACUCGGCAAACUAAAAUCCCGCCUGUUUACCAAAAACAUCACCUCUAGCAUAAAUAGUAUUAGAGGCACUGCCUGCCCAGUGACAUGUUAAACGGCCGCGGUACUCUGACCGUGCAAAGGUAGCAUAAUCAUUUGUCUCCUAAAUAGAGACUUGCAUGAAUGGCUUGACGAGGAUUUAACUGUCUCUUACUUUUAAUCAAUGAAAUUGACCUUCCCGUGAAGAGGCGGGGAUAAGAUCAUAAGACGAGAAGACCCUAUGGAGCUUAAAUAAAUAACUCAAGACCUAAGCCUAAAAAAAUCGAAAGAUAUAAACUUUAUCACAUGAGUUACAAAUUUUGGUUGGGGUGACCUCGGAGAAUAAAAAAUCCUCCGAAAAUAACUACUAAGACUAACACGUCAAAGUUUUUACAUAUUUAAUUGACCCAAUUAACCAAUUGAUCAACGGACCAAGUUACCCUAGGGAUAACAGCGCAAUCUUGCUCUAGAGUUCAUAUCGACAGUAAGGUUUACGACCUCGAUGUUGGAUCAGGACAUCCUAGUGGUGCAGCAGCUACUAAAGGUUCGUUUGUUCAACGAUUAAAGUCCUACGUGAUCUGAGUUCAGACCGGAGAAAUCCAGGUCGGUUUCUAUCUAUGAAACAAUUUCUCCCAGUACGAAAGGAUAAGAGAAAUGAGGCCAACUAUUACAUUAGCGCCUUAAUAAAAAUUAUGAUUUAAUCUUAAUAUAACUGUAU
rnacentral:rRNA from 1 species